AACGAACGCUGGCGGCAGGCUUAACACAUGCAAGUCGAACGCCCCGCAAGGGGAGUGGCAGACGGGUGAGUAACGCGUGGGAAUCUACCCAGAUCUACGGAACAACAGAGGGAAACUUCUGCUAAUACCGUAUACGCCCUACGGGGGAAAGAUUUAUCGGAUUUGGAUGAGCCCGCGUAAGAUUAGCUAGUUGGUGAGGUAAUGGCUCACCAAGGCGACGAUCUUUAGCUGGUCUGAGAGGAUGAUCAGCCACACUGGGACUGAGACACGGCCCAGACUCCUACGGGAGGCAGCAGUGGGGAAUAUUGGACAAUGGGCGAAAGCCUGAUCCAGCCAUGCCGCGUGAGUGAUGAAGGCCUUAGGGUUGUAAAGCUCUUUCAGUAGGGAAGAUAAUGACGGUACCUACAGAAGAAGCCCCGGCUAACUUCGUGCCAGCAGCCGCUGUAAGAC
rnacentral:rRNA from 1 species